rnacentral:sRNA from 1 species
AAUGUAACAGUAGUAAA